rnacentral:rRNA from 1 species
ACUAGUGAUUACUCCUACGGAGGCAGCAGUGGGGAAUUUCGGACAAUGGGCGCAAGCCUGAUCCAGCAAUGCCGCGUGCAGGAAGAAGGCCUUCGGGUUGUAAACUGCUUUUGUACGGAACGAAACGGUCCUGGUUAAUACCCUGGGCUAAUGACGGUACCGUAAGAAUGAGCACCGGCUAACUACGUGCCAGCAGCCGCGGUAAUAAUCCCGCG